rnacentral:lncRNA from 1 species
ACAAAAUGAAAGUGGAUGGGAAGGAUCUUGUGUGGAAGACUUUAUCUAGAAAAGCAUUAACUCUAAUCGAAAGGGAUAACAAUGACUUGCCUAAUCCUAUGAGUUCCGAUCUAAUAAAAAAAUAUUUUCAAAAAAAAUAAAAGAAAAAAAGAACAAAUCAAAAAAAAUAUUUUUUCAAAAAAAAUGAAAAUGAAAAUGAUGGAAAGAGAAAAGAAAAAGAGAAGGAAAAAGAAAAGGAAAAGAAAAAAGAGAGGCCAAAGCGAAAACCUGCAAAGGGCGCUUUGAGACCAAAGUGGAUUUGAGUUGAAAACCUGAAAAGAG